CACCAGCUGCUUCCCAUAGACUCCUGGUAAAAUAUGGAGCGGAAGGAAGAAGAGCCACUACCCAUAACAUCAGUGGCUGCUAACUAAGGAGUGUUUUGACAUGCUGGUACAGCCUAUCCUCAGCUUUCCAGAAGGUGGAAUCUUGUGAUAGUGGAAAGAAGUAGAAGAGAUGAAGGACCUAUGACUCCAGGAUUUGCCAGUGAAAGAAGUCAACAAUAUUUUAACUUUGAUCUUAACCAAAAGGCCAAGAAGUGAUGCUAAUAUUUUCAUAUACUACGACAGUUGCAGGCACACGUCUAUCAUAGCUGGGUAGUAAUCCAGGCAACUCUGCCACAAGUCAUGGGCUCAGCCACCAGUCCACGAAGUCUCCAGUCACACAUAUUGCUUCGGACUAUUCUCUAUCCCCAGUUGUCAAUUAACUAAAAUAUUAAAUGAGGGAGAGAGGCUAUGUGGAUGAAGAUGAUGAGGAUGGUGGGGGCAAGAUGGAUGCUCUG
rnacentral:lncRNA from 10 species